rnacentral:rRNA from 1 species
GACGAACGCUGGCGGCGUGCCUAAUACAUGCAAGUCGAACGAGUGGCGGACGGGUGAGUAAUGCUUGGGAAUCUAGCUUAUGGAGGGGGAUAACUACGGGAAACUGUAGCUAAUACCGCGUACCAUAGGAUGAGCCCAAGUGGGAUGAGGUAGUUGGUGAGGUAAAGGCGCACCAAGCCGACGAUCUCUAGCUGGUCUGAGAGGAUGACCAGCCACACUGGAAUUGAGACACGGCCCAGACUCCUACGGGAGGCACAAGAGGGAAAUAUUGCGCAAUGGGGGCAACGUGACGCAGCCAUUCCGCGGAAAUAAAGAGGGCCUUCGGUUUGUAAGGUUCUUUCGGUAGCGAGGCGUUAACUACAGAAGAAGCGCCGGCUAACUCCGUGCCAGCAGCCGCGGUAAUAC